UGAUCUGCCCUGCGCUUCGGGAUAAGCCUGGGAAAGUGGGUCUAACACCGCAUAAGACCUCCUAUCGGGGGUGGGUGGCGGAAAGAUUUAUCGGUGCUGGGGGGGGCUGCGCCCUAUAAGCUUGUUGGUGGGGUAAUGGCCUACCAAGGCGACGACGGGUAGCCGACCUGAGAGGGUGACCGGCCACACUGGGACUGAGACACGGCCCAGACUCCUACGGGAGGCAGCAGUGGGGAAUAUUGCACAAUGGGCGAAAGCCUGAUGCAGCGACGCCGCGUGAGGGAUGACGGCCUUCGGGUUGUAAACCUCUUUCAGCAGGGACGAAGCGCAAGUGACGGUACCUGCAGAAGAAGCACCGGCUAACUACGUGCCAGCAGCCGCGGUAAUACGUAGGGUGCAAGCGUUGUCCGGAAUUACUGGGCGUAAAGAGUUCGUAGGCGGUUUGUCGCGUCGUUUGUGAAAACCAGCAGCUCAACUGCUGGCUUGCAGGCGAUACGGGCAGACUUGAGUACUGCAGGGGAGACUGGAAUUCCUGGUGUAGCGGUGAAAUGCGCAGAUAUCAGGAGGAACACCGGUGGCGAAGGCGGGUCUCUGGGCAGUAACUGACGCUGAGGAACGAAAGCGUGGGUAGCGAACAGGAUUAGAUACCCUGGUAGUCCACGCCGUAAACGGUGGGCGCUAGGUGUGGGUUCCUUCCACGGAAUCCGUGCCGUAGCUAACGCAUUAAGCGCCCCGCCUGGGAGUACGGCCGCAAGGCUAAAACUCAAAGGAAUUGACGGGGCCCCGCACAAGCGGCGGAGCAUGUGGAUUAAUUCGAUGCAACGCGAAGAACCUUAC
rnacentral:rRNA from 1 species